UUCAGGCUGUGGAAAAUGCAGGAUAUCAGAGAGAGAGAAAAAGUGGUGGGAGUAAGAAGCAAUCUGCUGUGUCCCUUCAUGAUGUGCCUCCCCUGAAUGAAUCAGGAGGUCGUGGUGACUCUUACAGGGAUGGUCACUGCUGGAGCUGGAGGGGGUGGUGGAUUCAAAGGGAAAGUCUGUGGCUGUUCCCAGAAAUGAGCAAGAGGUGCAGCAUGAGCCCUGUGACAAGGACAGCCCAGGCUGCUGUGUGUGAUGAGGAGAGGGAAGGUGCUGCACACACCAGAGAGGCUGGCAAAGGACAAAGGUGAUUGAGCUGGACCCAUAGACAUUUAGCUUUUAAUUUUAAGAAAAAGCUUUCCCAUGACAAUGGAGUGCACAGUUUCAAGAUGAAAUUUAACCUAGGAAAGACCUAUGGACUGGCCCAGGAAGUGAAAUACCACAUGAGCUCUGCUAAUAAGUCAGUACAGUUGUAAGAAGCCAAUGCAGUAUCAGCUGCUACCUGGGAGAAGGAAACCACGGACACAUUUGUCCCUGCAGAGCAUUUCCAGCACACCUUCAGCCUGUGAGCAACGCUGGCAUGGCAGCCCUGAUAGCAAUGGAGAGACUCCUGGUGUGCAUCAAUCAAUCUAGAGAAGAGGGACCAAAAUAGCUGAUUGCUGGGUCUGUAAUGUCUUAUCCUCAGAACAAAACCAAAUUUUCAGGUAGCUUUUAGAAUGGCUUGUUUUCCUCAUCCAUCUGCAUGCCCAGCUAAAAUCUUCCAGGAAAUGAUCUUUGUUUCAACAGUAGGUAUGUCAGGAACAGGUAUUUUAAGGAGGAUAUAGUUUAAGCCAAGGGCUGCAUAUUCCAUGUUUUCCUAACCCCCAGUCGAAAGCCCAUCUGCCACUAAGUGGUUUAUAACUUGACAGUCAGCCACCACUAUUUUUUAAAAUGUUCUGUAAUGUUUAUAAUGUCAGUCCCUGUUGCUAACCUUUUUUUUUCCUUUAACUUUCUUUACUUUUUUUUUUUUUUUUUUUUUUUUUUUGGUAACCCUUUUACCUUCUUUUUCCCUGCUCAGACCCAUUAGCAGGAUGUUGUGCAAUAUGGUGCUUGUCAUCUGUUUCAAAGACACAGUGAUGAGAUACAGGUAUGCCAGAUGGAUAAACCUAGUGUGACUAAUUAUUGUGUAUUUGCCUUUAAUUAUUAUCAUUUAUUACCAGAGAAAAGACAAUAGAGGUUCCCAGACUCGGAAGGGAAUGUCGGCAGAAGGGGAAUUUUUGUCUUUUUGGUUUUUUGUUUUUUGUUUUUUGUUUUUUUUUUUUCAAGAGACUGGCACAUCAGCAAGAAAAGUUUUCUUCUUGGAGUGAAAUACUGCAAAGCAUCCGAGACAAGAGGAGACAACAUGACCCAGGGAAUACUUUCCUUUCCCUGGCACAUACUUGAGGAUCAGAUCUCUCACAGGUGCCUGCUGAGGACAGACACUUAUCUCAGAGCCCACAGUCUGGCAUGCUGGAUGACUCUGAAAGAGUAUAGAAGGUUGACAAUGGGAGAAAGAAAGCACCUGGAAGCUGCAGAGAGGGGAGCUCAGGAGAUCCAGUCCCUGCUGUCCCCACCACCUGUGCAAUGCAAAAUUCAGAGGGAAAAAGGACUCUGACACCACAGAAGCAAUGAGCUGCACGUCUGGGCCAUUCUUGCAGGCUGGGGAUGGAAUCUGCCUGAAGGACUUGCAAAAUUCAGUCCCUGCUCUCCUUGCAGUGGGAUGUGGAUGUAAACGUCGCCUCUUUCUCAGAGCAGCUUUUGAGAGCGUCUUUGGGAUAACAGGGACCAGCACACAACUUGUGACCCAAAAGGGAAAUAGCAGCAGUAGCAAUAGGACUCUUCUCCAAUGAUCAUGAUCAUGCCAGCUGCAAGGAGUGCAACAGCACACUGAAACCCUCCACCAAGCUACCUUCCCUGGUGAUUUUGUGAACAACCUCUGGAUGAGAGAGCUUUAUUGGAAUUGUCCUCCUCCAAUGUGGCCAGAGGGAAAUGACCUGGAUGAGCAUUCUGCCACAAAGGGACCAGCCACAUGUGUGCAGGCAAAGCCAUAAACCAGACGGAAUUUAUCGGGCUGGACUCUGCUGUGCCCUUCAGGCCAGCAUCAUUCCAGCCAGCAGCACAAGGCACAAGCAUGCACACACCAGAGCACCCUUCAGACAUCCCACCUCACCUGCUGACACAAUCCUUCAGCACCCACCAAAAUCAAAUGCAGCUAAUUGGAAGGUGAUGACAGCCAGAGGACUGCUGGAUUUGCAUGCUAUUUCCUCUAUUUUAGCAUCACACAGCCCAAGUACAGCAGGUUGAGCACCUUCCUGAGAAAAACAGGAUUUCUGCAUGGAAGGAGGAUGAGGACUCAGGCACACACCUGAACUCUGCAGCAUCAGAGAAUGUCACCAUGAAUGUCCAUUGGCAAACUGGAUAAGAAGGAGUGUCACAGUGCAGGACAACCUAGAAGAUGACAGUAGUUGGAAAAGGGACUCUGAGAUAACAGCCAAGUGCAACAGGAGUUAUUAAAGAGGCCCCAGCUACCAGCAGCCAAGAGGAAAUCUUCAAACAUUGAUUUUCACAAGCAGAUUGACUUCACUUCUUCCUAUACAUACAGUACCAGAAUGAUUAAAAAAAAAAAAUAAAAAGUUAGACAAAUAUUUAUACAUAUGGCUAAUGAGAACACCUGGCAUUGCAGGCAAACAAGCUAAUGGGGAAGAGAUGGAAUGGAUGUGGAUCUCACGGUGUGUAUUGCAUCCCAAGCAGCUUGUUUUCUCCACUGAUGUCUCCUUCAAAGAGCCUUUUGCUCCAGAGAAUGAACAUGCUGGAGCUGCUGCCCUUGAAAGCAGCUGGGUUCCCACUCUACCUCAGGGCAAAAGCAAAAGCUACCCCUCGUUGGAGGAAGGCUUGUUAAAACCUUCAUGUUCCAGUGCCUUUGCUGGGAUUUUGAGUAGGCUGGUGAUGGCAUUUGGACAGAGACAUUUGUCUCCCAGGACCUGGGCUGGCACCACCAAUUUAUCUCAUGCUGACCACAAAACAACCAUCACCUGAUAAAGACUUUCAUUUAUUGCCAGUGACUGGUGAACCUCUGGAGGUUUGCUUGGGACAAAUACCAAUUCAGCUGCCAAACCUUAUCUGAACUAUCUGAACCUCUCUUGUCUAAAAGAAUUGGGCUGGAAAUCUCAUCAGAUAAGGAUUUACUCUGUGAUUCACUCAAGUUAUUGCUUCCAGAUGAGUUAGAAUUACUGACACAACUGCCCCUUUUGCUUGGUAUUUGGUGUAUCCAGUUCUGGCUCAGAACAUGGGAAAAAAGUAUAAUUCACCAAAAAGUGUAUGCAUAUUUAAUAUUGUGUAAAUUUUGAUUGUUCUUAAUUUUUUUUAGUUUUUAUCUUCCAGUCUCCAUUUCCUACCAUUCCUGAACUGUAGAGAAAUCUAAUUUUUCAGCAGAGAGCCCUCUGAUUUCAAGGAAAUAUUUAAAUAUUGGCCUGCCUUGUUUUGGUAAGUCAUAAUAAAAGCAGAUAAUCAGGAAGGAUGGGAGGUGGUCAUAUCACCUCUUUUAGGAGAGAUGCUGAAUGAAAAGCCAGUAUACAUACAGAUAACUGAACUGCCUCCCUGUACUUUUAUUCUUUU